CCUACGUGCGGCAGCAGUGGGGAAUAUUGCACAAUGGGGGAAACCCUGAUGCCGCGACGCCGCGUGAGCGAUGAAUUAUUUCGGUAUGUAAAGCUCUAUCAGCAGGGAAAAAAAUGACGGUACCUGACUAAGAAGCCCCGGCUAACUACGUGCCAGCAGCCGCGGUAAUACGUAGGGGGCAAGCGUUAUCCGGAUUUACUGGGUGUAAAGGGAGCGUAGACGGUCCUGCAAGCCAGAGGUGAAAGCCCGGGGCUCAACCCCGGGACUGCAUUUGGAACUGUAAGGCUAGAGUGUAGGAGAGGCAGGCGGAAUUCCUAGUGUAGCGGUGAAAUGCGUAGAUAUUAGGAGGAACACCAGUGGCGAAGGCGGGCUGCUGGACGAUGACUGACGUUGAGGCUCGAAAGCGUGGGGAGCAAACAGGAUUAGAUACCCGGGUAGUC
rnacentral:rRNA from 1 species